rnacentral:rRNA from 1 species
UACGGAGGGUGCAAGCGUUAUCCGGAUUUACUGGGUUUAAAGGGUGCGUAGGUGGGUCUGUAAGUCAGUGGUGAAAUCUCCGGGCUUAACCCGGAAACUGCCAUUGAUACUAUAGAUCUUGAAUAUCCUGGAGGUGAGCGGAAUAUGUCAUGUAGCGGUGAAAUGCUUAGAUAUGACAUAGAACACCAAUUGCGAAGGCAGCUCACUACGGGAUUAUUGACACUGAGGCACGAAAGCGUGGGUAGCGAAUGGG